ACCAUGCAAAAGAGGAGGUGAAACCAAUCAACCAACUUUCAAAGAGAUAUUUUUCAUCAUUGAGAUAAUAAAGCCACACAUGUUUGAUUUCGUGAAUGUACCAAAUAAAAGUAACUUCGUAUGUGGUGAAUAUGUGAUAAAAUCUUAGAACCGAGGAUCAUGUGCUGCAUGAACCCACUUGCGAAGGAUUUUGAACUCAACUAAACGAAUAAACUUCGUAAGCUGGUUACUAUGGUUACACGCAUCACCAGCCUCCUUAAUUUUUAAAUAAAAAAAGAGCAUCGCUACCAUGCCAACCACAAAAUGAUAAACUACGUUGUGAUUGUUAAAAUGGGAAUCCACAAAAUAGAAAAUCAAUCUGGUUUGUUCCUACUCGAAUAAUGAGUAGAGUUGUAAUAACUGAUUUUUACAGGUAAGUUGCUUUUAAUAUGAAUAUUUUAGCAGUCUGAAUAGAUAUAUUAAUAAAAUGAGGAAUGAGGAAUAAUUGCAACUAAAAGGAAUCCAACUCUUUAAUCAGCAUCACCAAAGGAUGGUUUCAGGUUUUUUUGAGGGACUUGGAAAGCAUCCCAAAUUCAACAAAGAGAGAAACAUGUCGACUAUGGUUACCACUUCCUCUCAAAUGAAAAAUACCAAUUUUUACAUUUUGAUAAACCUGUUGGAACCCUACUUUAGUAGUUUUAACCAAAAAACACUUUGAUGAUGGAUUGUGUUUGUAAUUUUACAUAUUGACCAGAGAAGAAGCAAUCAGUGUACGUGCCCAUUGGUCCCAAAUUGAUUAAGUCCAUGAAAAAUUUGCUCAGGGUCUAGCUUUUUUAGACAACAGAGAAAACUUUUGAAUUCAUGAUAACGCAAAACAUGUUGCAUUUGAUACUCAAAGGAUGCUACAAAAUGUUAAACGGAAAGUUUUAGAUAAUCCACGAUAUAGUCCAGAUAUUUAUCCAUGUGAAUAUCACUUAUUUUUACCAUUGUCCAGUUUUCAAGUAAAAUAAAAGUUAUUUUAAAGUUAAACCAAAGAUUAAAUAUAUACAUUUAUAGGAAAAAAUAUUAAAUACGAUAUUUAAUCUUUGGUUAAAAAUUAAAAACAAUACUUUUUUGAGAACUUAAUAUUUACAUUUGUUGAAAGUACUAUAUAUUUUAUUUACAUAUUUAUAUAUAACCAAUAAGAAUGUUUUUUAGGUUGGCGUCACUUAAAUAAUUUUAUUUUGAAAUUCAUGUUUGUCAACUUGUAUUAAAAUAUUAUUGCAUUAAACAGUGGCCAAUUUUGCAUUUUGCAAGCUCCACAUUUCAUGAAUUUAAAUAUUUAUAACAUGUUACAAUUAGUGCAUUAACAAUGUAAAACAAUCGCUAUUAAAAUCUGAAUAUUUGGCCGGUUAUCGGUAGUCGUAAAGGCAGAAAGAGCCGCGUGCACAAUAAAUUUGACAAUUUAAUUUAAACGUGUAGUGAGAAAGUGUGUUCCAGUCUGUUCAUCUAGUACAAACACCAGUAUCAAGUCUAUAAUGAAUCAACUAAUUAUCCAAGUAAGUAAUUCUUAAUUUUUAGAACUGACUAAAGGUCUUUCUUUGUAUCAACAAACCACACGUUUUUAAACAAGUCACAAUGCUUAAAUAAAAAC